UACGUAGGGUGCGAGCGUUAAUCGGAAUUACUGGGCGUAAAGCGUGCGCAGGCGGUUUUGUAAGCCAGAUGUGAAAUCCCCGGGCUUAACCUGGGAAUGGCAUUGGAAACUGGCGAGCUGGAGUGUGGCAGAGGGGGGUGGAAUUCCGCGUGUAGCAGUGAAAUGCGUAGAGAUGCGGAGGAGCACCGAUGGCGAAGGCAGCCCCCUGGGCCAACACUGACGCUCAGGCACGAAAGCGUGGGGAGCAAACAGG
rnacentral:rRNA from 1 species